GACGAACGCUGGCGGCGUGCUUAACACAUGCAAGUCGAGCGGGUAAGGCCCUUUCGGGGGUACGACGAGCGGCGAACGGGUGAGUAACACGUGGGUGACCUGCCCUCAGCUCUGGGAUAAGCCUGGGAAACCGGGUCUAAUACCGGAUAUGACUCCAUGACGCAUGUUGUGGGGUGGAAAGCCUUGUGCGGCUGAGGAUGGGCCCGCGGCCUAUCAGCUUGUUGGUGGGGNGAUGGCCUACCAAGGCGACGGCGGGUAGCCGGCCUGAGAGGGCGACCGGCCACACUGGGACUGAGACACGGCCCAGACUCCUACGGGAGGCAGCAGUGGGGAAUCUUGCGCAAUGGGCGAAAGCCUGACGCAGCGACGCCGCGUGAGGGAUGACGGCCUGGUGUAAC
rnacentral:rRNA from 1 species